AUACAUGUGUGUACGUAUGCGAUCAGAAGAAGGAGCCAGGAGAGAUCAAACCCUAAUUCAACAAAUCCUCCGAAUCGAAGCUCAAAUCAAGCCCGAAUCGUCUGCAUAAUUACAAAUUCGUGAUCACCUAGUCAUGGGGAUCAUAAGUUUGACGCUUAACGAGCUAGGUGGAGGCUUGAGAAAGGAAGCGGGUCAAACAAAUCAAGAACGGAAAGAAAAGAGUGGCGUGGAUGCGAGGUAAGUGAAACUUACACCUUCUUGUAGAAUACAUAACUAUUCUAUAUGUUAUAAAUACAAUGGAGAUAAUAUUCGAAAUAUGGUUUCCGACACGAAAUGACUUGGGUCGGAAUUAGAAACCAAUGUUAGAAACCAUAGUAAUGGCAAAACGGGGUGGAACGGUAAACUAGUCAAGGAAAGAAUAAGAUAAAAUGAGUUUUCGAACGACUACUUUAUGAGUAAGCUAAAACUAGUAAAAAGGGUAAAAGGGGAUCAAAUGGUAAUAUUGAUACCCUUUGACAAUUAAUGACUAAUAAGUGUAUGUCGACUCUCAUGCUCGCAGGAUGAACGGCUCGUGAAUUAGCGAAUCUAUGAAAUAGCAAGUAAGUCAAGACAAGGUAUUAAAACGGGUCAAUAUGAUGAUUUGAGCCAGGUACGCAUAAUUAUGUUGUAGUUAAAAGUGCUAUUUUGGUCAAGUAAUUGGUGAGAGUCCUUCGUCGUAAAAGAAGGACCAAAAUUGAUCAAAACGCCCUUGUAGGCUAAAUUGAACAAACAACCCUUAAGAGUUGUUUGGAAACAAAUUUCAUGAUUAGAUAGAUACUUAGAAUAAGUAUAGAAGUUGAAAGAUGUAAUAUGUUAGUUAAAUAGCUCCGUUUGAGUCUUGCCGUAAAAUAACAAUCUGAAGGGCAAAACUCGGAACAUAUAGAUAUACACAUUGUAAUUCAACACACAAAGAGUUGUAGUUGAAGUUUACUUGAUAAGAAAAGUAGGAAUAAGACACUAGAAAUGAAUGAAAGCGAUUUCAAGCUUUAAAGUGCGUAAAUACCCUUAACGGGUCAAAAUAAGCAUACGAGUGAAAAUGGGUUAAAAUUGUGUAAUAAACCUAUGAUUAGAACCUAGUAUGGAAGGUAACAUUAAUUUGAUGAAGUGUAUGAGAUAUAGGAAUCAAACAAAUACAUUUGUUUGAUAAAAUGCAUAAACGAGUUAAAAUUCGGUAAAAAGGGUAACGAGUCGAAUGCUUAGAAGUCUCAAGUUUCUUAUGUUGGAUGUAGGAUUUUAACUCCAUAUGAUGGAGAAUUAAAUUACGGUCGCGUAGGAAAAAGAAUCGCGUAAAACGGAUCAAUAACGAAGAAGUUAUGGUCAAUUCCGUAAAAACUGUUGUUGCUGAAAAAUGCAGGACACAGCUCUGAACUCGCUGGAAAAUCAUAUCUGUCGUGCCACGCGACGGAUGACCAGAAACACGUCGCGAUACGCGAUGAUGCGACGCGACACGCGUGAGACGAGGGUGUCUCUGUCGCGACCCGCGUGAGAUCCCAAAGUUGGCAAAUUCAUUUUUCUUGUCCGUUUUUGUAUCCGGACUUGAUCUAAACUCAUUUUAAGCCCGUAUAACUAAUCAUUUCAUGGUUUAUGAAAUGCAGGUGAUAUUUUGAACUCCGGAUGACAAUCAAGCGUCGAGCAAGAACCGAACACGCAUUAAAUGAAGCUUCCGCAAGUUGUUUCGUCGUUAUUCUAAAACGGCGAAUUAAACCACAUUAUGUUGUAUCACUUUAAAUUGUAAAAGUUUUUAAUAAACCCGUAUUUUUUUUAUAGUA